rnacentral:rRNA from 1 species
CAACUUUCAACAACGGAUCUCUUGGCUUUCGCAUCGAUGAAGAACGCCGCGAAAGCGCGAAACGUAAUGUGAAUUGCAGAAUUCAGUGAAUCAUCGAAUCUUUGAACGCAUCUUGCG